GGGGAUAUAGUUCAGUGGUGGAGCAUUCGACUGCUGAUCGAGAGAUCCUUGUUUCGAAUCCGAGUGUCCCCU